GCCCCAGUGGCACAUCGGUUUAAGUGCGCGCACCACAAAAGGCUGAGUCCUUCCCGGGUUCGAUUCCGGCUCGGGCC